AUGUGCGGCCGCUGUGCGGCGGAAAGGCCGCCUCACCGAGGGCCCGAGCGGGGUUGGGACACAGCACCGGUGCAGGAACCGGAGCUGGAAGGGCCCAGGCAGCCCUGCAGCUCCCGUUUUUCCAGCUUUAUUUAUAGCAGGCGUUUGCAGCCAAACGUCAGCGUUCCGCCUGCGCGUGAGUUACCUGGAAGAUCAGCGCAGGAUCUGACUUAUCCAGCAGCGGGAAACUCUGGAAGAAGUCAAGAGGAGCAGCCCCCCCCCCCCCUUUGAUAACGGCAGAGUUUCGGCCCUCAGAUGAAGCAGAAGCAGAUGAGUGUGUGUGUGUGUGUGUGUGUGUGUGUGUGUUGGACACCAGUAUUGGUGAAUACAUCCCAUCAUGUCUGAUUGUGGUUCAGGUCUGAUCUCUGCUGCAACUUCUUCACCUUCUGUUGAGGAUUUUAACACAACUUUAACAGGAAGUGAGUUUUAAUCUCUCAGUUCUGGCCUAAAAUACGCUGUUGGGGGGGGGGGGGGGGCAGUAUGAUUAAUUUACUGCAGCCGGCCACUGGGGGUGAUCACAUGAUCCCAAUGUGUCAGGAUCAGUUCUGACAUCAAUCUGUAAAAGAAAAUAUAAUUAAAAACAUGCUAAGCUAACGGUGGCUAGUUCACCUCCUUUCUACUUUAAAUCAAAUUGGAAGAUCUGACACCAUUUAUUUAAUUUAAAAUGAAAAAUAAAGGGCAGAUAUUCUUUUUAUUAGCGGUAAAAAACAAAACAAAACAAAAAACACCUUCAAAAGCUCAAACUGUCGCCCAGCGUGUAAAAAACCCCAAACUGCCGCAAACGAGGGUGGAAAAGACUCAUUUUAGUUCAUUUAGACGGCAAUAAUGCGGAUUUUCCCAGUGUUUCAGCUCUUUCUGUGUUGGGUUGAGGCCUUUUAUGUGGCCUGCAGCCUCACAGCCGUAUGCUCGGGGUGUGUGUGUACACACAGAAACAGCAGGGGAGCGCUGCACUCCACCGGGGUCCCCCCCCCCCCCCCCAUUCACUAAUCAAUGUUUAACCCACUGGCUUAAAGGC
rnacentral:lncRNA from 1 species